GACGAACGCUGGCGGCGUGCUUAACACAUGCAAGUCGAACGGAAAGGCCUCUUUCGGGGGGUACUCGAGUGGCGAACGGGUGAGUAACACGUGAGUAACCUGCCCUUGACUUUGGGAUAACUUCAGGAAACUGGGGCUAAUACCGGAUAGGAGCUCCUGCUGCAUGGUGGGGGUUGGAAAGUUUCGGCGGUUGGGGAUGGACUCGCGGCGUAUCAGCUUGUUGGUGGGGUAGUGGCUUACCAAGGCUUUGACGGGUAGCCGGCCUGAGAGGGUGACCGGCCACAUUGGGACUGAGAGGCGGCCCAGACUCCUACGGGAGGCAGCAGUGGGGAAUAUUGCACAAUGGGUGGAAGCCGGAUGCAGCAACGCCGUGUGCGGGAUGACGGCCUUCGGGUUGUAAAACGAUUUCGCUCAUGACGAAGCUUUGUGUGACGGUAGUGGGUAAAGAAGCACCGGCUAACUACGUG
rnacentral:rRNA from 1 species